GCGGAGGAAAAGAAACCAACAGGGAUUGCCUCAGUAACGGCGAGUGAAGCGGCAACAGCUCAAAUUUGAAAUCUGGUCCCCUCUGGGGGCCCGAGUUGUAAUUUGAAGAGGAUGCUUUUGGCGAGGCGCCUUCCGAGUGCCCUGGAACGGGACGCCACAGAGGGUGAGAGCCCCGUAUGGUAGGACGCCGAGCCUCUGUAAAGCUCCUUCGACGAGUCGAGUAGUUUGGGAAUGCUGCUCAAAAUGGGAGGUAAACCCCUUCUAAAGCUAAAUAUUGGCCAGAGACCGAUAGCGCACAAGUAGAGUGAUCGAAAGAUGAAAAGCACUUUGAAAAGAGAGUUAAACAGCACGUGAAAUUGUUGAAAGGGAAGCGCUUGCGACCAGACUUGCGCCCGUCGGAUCAACCGUCCCUCGUGGGCGGCGCACUCCGGCGGGCUCAGGCCAGCAUCAGUUUUCCUGGGGGGAGAAAGGCGGUGGGAAUGUGGCUCUUCGGAGUGUUAUAGCCCGCCGCGUAAUGCCCUCGGGGGGACUGAGGACCGCGCGUAUGCAAGGAUGCUGGCGUAAUGGUCGUCAGCGACCCGUCUUGAAACACGGACCAAGGAGUCGUCCUAAUAUGCGAGUGUACGGGUGUAAAACCCCUGCGCGUAAUGAAAGUGAACGGAGGUGAGAGCUUCGGCGCAUCAUCGACCGAUCCUGAUGUUCUCGGAUGGAUUUGAGUAAGAGCAUAUUGGGCCGGACCCGAAAGAAGGUGAACUAUGCCUGUAUAGGGUGAAGCCAGAGGAAACUCUGGUGGAGGCUCGCAGCGGUUCUGACGUGCAAAUCGAUCGUCAAAUAUGGGCAUGGGGGCGAAAGACUAAUCGAACCUUCUAGUAGCUGGUUUCCGCGA
rnacentral:sRNA from 1 species